GAAGAGCAUGCGAGCUGCCUGCUGCCUACUGCCUACUCCUGCUGCUGCCGCUGCUGUUGUUGCAUUCAAUGUUGGGUAGCCAGCCACCCAUGCACGAUGACAAUGCCAGCAGCGGGCACCCAUGGGGAUGGACCCAGGAGUGGAGGAUGACCCAGUAUGAUGAAAGUUCAGCCCACUCACUGA